GCUGGAGAUCUCUGUGCGUUGAGGCCUUCUGAAGGUUUGCUGGAAAUCUGUGUUUGAAUCAUGAAAUGCACUUUUCAAUGGACACGACAUUCUGGUAACUGGAACAGUAGCCAUUUACAAGAUGAAGUUUGAGAGUAUGUCUGGCUUGUAGACCCAGCUGGGAAAGGAUCUAAAUGGGGAGCACAUGGAGAGAUGUCCUGGAUGAGGCCAUGCACAGCAGGCAUUGUGGGAUCACUCGUAGAUCUGCUGAUGUCCCAGAUGAACCCUAGUGAUUGCUACAAUGGGUCAGAAAGAUCUGAGAGAUUCUGAAGAUGUCCAGGAAGAGGAUGUCAAGGUGAUGGCUUGGAAGACGAGGCUAUGGGACAUGAGAUCAGUAGGGCUGGUGCUCCACCCAUUCAUCCAUCGUCUCUCCAUCCAUCAUGGGUCACUGGGAUGAGGAGACCAAUGGGAAAUCAAUGAAAGAGAAAGAGUUGGUGUAUGGAAAGUGCCUGUGCCCAUGUUAAAAAGCAAUAUGUGUAAGGACAAAAGGGAAAUUGCACGUAUGUAUGAAUACAAACCUACCCAUCAUGGUAAGUCAGGAAUAGGGCCAUGAAGAGCCAUGGAGUGGUGCUGCCACCAGGAAUCGGGGCAUGUCCCUCCCAGGUCUGAUCACACGUGACAUUGAGUGCUAGUCCAGCACUGGCCCCAAAAUCUUCAGUGUUAGCAGUCAGAUGGAAAUAUCCUCCAGCAUAAAGGCAGCAGUGUGCAGGGCUUCAGCUUGAAGGCAAGCCCAGACUGCAGUGCUGGAGCCAUGCUCCUGGAACAUCGGCUCAGCUCCUCCAGCAGGUCUGCUGCAAACACAUGGGGACAGCUAUUGUGUGUGCAGUCUCUGGCUGCUUAUUUUAUUUGUCGGGCAGAGGGAUAAUUGACAGGUGGCUGUCUGGAAGAGAUGAAGCCCUCCAGCAAAACUCUGCAGCUCCAGCAAGAUGCGAGCGACAGAGAAAUGGCUCCAGAGGUGAUAGACUUGUUACUUUUAACACCGCUGGAGAUGGAAGGGAGCAGGGUUGAAUCGCAGUUCAGAACAAUCAUACCUAACUGCUGAACUAAAUAAAAGCAAUGAUUUCAUACCGGUGUCUGCGGCUGCCUCAGACUGAGCUGGGAUUAACGAGUGUGCUGUUGCCUUUGGAAGGGAAGUGCACGCCUGAGGACUUUGGGUUCCUUUUUAGGGGGAGCAUCACCAAGGAGGAGGGCAGAGAUAGAGAAUGGGUUGCACCCAAGGCAGUGCUGAUGUUUACCCUCCAGCUAACAAACCUUGCUGAGAGAGGCAGGGAAGAGGACCGUGUUAGUGGGAUGGGCUGGUGCCCAGGUACCCCACCAGCUGCAAGUAUUCAUCUUUCCUUGUUUCCUUUUUUCUUUUUUGGUCCUUUUUCUAAAUGCCCUGCCUGGGACUUUGAUGCCUACAGAUCUCCUCCAGGCCUGGCCUGGCCCUUAUGCUCCUCAAUGAGUCUGUACUUAUUCUGAUGACAUGCAGCAUUAUCUGCUCCAGACUCAUAAACAAAAACAGAAGCUUAACCAUUAACCCCCUCCAACACAGCACCCCGACCUAUCGCUCUCUGAGAACAGACUUCUCAUAGGGCGGGUUUCUGUCUGUGUUUUUAUCAAUCUCAAGCAUUUUUUUUUAACUGUUUACUAGAGUUUGCCCCCUGCUAUGUUUAUGAUGUAGCACUACAGAGGCUCUCACCCUGCCGUGCUGCGUGCUGUGGUGGUUCGGGGCUGAGAUGGGAUUGGCAGAGCUGAAGCCUGUUGGCCACCUCCCUCUGCUCUCCUACCUCCGUGUAGCUUUGCAGCAAAUCAAAGUGCAACAAAUGGCUUUGCAUCAUGUCUUUGAGGAGCCCUGGGCCUUGUAUGUUAUCUUGAGGGCAGAGUAUAUGCUCCAAUAAAAGAAGGCUUUAUUACCAACUGCAACGGAGCCAAGGAUUCAAACAUGUAUCGCCUUGUGAGUUUGUCGUAAACUCCCUUUUAUGGCCCAUCCAGUUUAUGGCUAAUGGAGAUUUACAGUGGGAAGAAGGGGCUGUGUGCUCUAAUUAAUGUUGUUAUUAGGCUGGGAGGGCUCAGCACAGCCAGCCCCAUGCUUGCCCUUCAGCACAGCCCUGCAGAGCGCACAGGUAAUAUCUGUCCCCACAUGAGGACCCACCGUAUGGAUGGGGAGCUGAGGUCAAUUCUAUGGGCUGUCAGAGGAGCUGAGCACAGCAUGGGGCAGUGGAGGCUGUGCUGAAAACAUCCAUCCCUCCUGCUUGGGUGGUUCUUCUGUCAAUUAGAAGUCAUUGUUCCUCAUCUGUCUUUGGGCUCUAGAUGAGUUUUGACCCUGCUUCCAUCCCCACCAUCGCUGUGGACCUGGGAUGUGGCCCUGUUAAUGUCAGCCUGACUUCCAUCGCAUGCAGCUGUGCUGGAAUGAAGCUACAAAUGAGGCAGAUUUCAUGUGGUUGCAGCUCCUUGCUGGGAAUGCUUCAUGCCGCUUCGCUCAGCAAUUAAAAGCGAGGAGCUGGGGCGAGAACAGUCCUGCUAAUGACUUGCAGUCCACUCCCUUGAGCUAAGCUGUCUUUGCAGAGCCAAAAUUAUAUCAUAUCAGUCUCCAGAAGCUACCACAGAAGUUAAACAUUAAGUGGCUUAUGUUGCUGGAAACUUCCGUUGGCUUCAGCUUGAUCACAGGUCAAGGAUGCCGUCAUCAAGAGCGGCCUUGAUCUCCAGCAGCCGCCAUGGAAAUGGCCAAGCCCAGAGGGACUGAAAUACAGCAGGGCCAUAAAUCUAGCCCUGUGGGACAGCCCUGUGCUCCCAACCCCACAGAAGAGUGGGAAUGCUGCUGGAGGAGCCCACAAACCCAGGAGGGGCUCUGGGAGCUGCAUCAGGUGGAAGAGUGCAUCCAACUUAUGAUGCUGGAGAGCAAAGCGCUGAUUCCCCACAUCUCACCCAGCCAUGAGAGCAGAGCCAGCUGAAAUCCUGAGUGCCGAUAGGAUGGUUUUGCCCUGAUUUCACUCCAGGAAUUUCCUGCAAAGGGAAAAAGGCACAGGCUGAGAGUUGCAAGGAUUUUGGAGGGAAAUAUCCAGGAAUUGGGCACCCCUUUGAGGCAUGGCGAGGUCUGCAGUGGAGAAGGAGAGAAAAGAUUCAGGGCUCCUUCUCACCACUGUUAUUAAUAUUCAAAUUAAUUAACUGUGCUGAGGGCUGGAGGAAAUUGAAUGUCGAGAACAAACUAAGCUCUGCUUUAGAUUUUAAGCCAUUCGGGGCUUUGAUGUAAAGCUUGUGCUUUUAUUAUUAUUAUUUUUAAAUCUCUUGAUUUUUAUUUUUAUUUUUUAAUGCAAACACCUGGCCUGCUCUAGAGGCGAUAUAACAGUAAUAAAUGAUCCUUAUUAAUUGGCCGUUGGCUGAUGGGGAGCAGCAGGCUCCCAGCAAAACAGGGCACAUUCAUAGGGGUUAUGGAGCCAGGUUUGGGGAGGGGAUAAUGGGGCUGAGCCCCCCCAGCAUCCCAAUGUGGGGCUCCCAGCCAGGUAGGGAGCUUUGGUGAGGUUAAAUAAUAAAAAAAGAAGCUUUAACGAGGCAGAGCUUAAAUACGCACUCCCUCUUUACCCAUUUAUUAAGUAAUAAUGAAACACUUUUGUCAAAGCUUAGGCACCAAAUUUCUGACACCAGAUGAGCUCUAAAGCUAAUCAGGGGCUGGAAAAAUGGGAAUAUAAUUAAGGCUGCUGACAGCCCCGUGUCAUUAACCUCACAGCUCUCAGGUGCCAUGCUGAACCACAGCUGCAAAAAAUACUGUAUUACGGGCAGUUGGUUUCAGCUGUGGAAAUGAAUUUGGCUUUUAAUGGCUCUGUAAUGUCUCUGGGGCUGAGGUGGUGGCAGGAGGAGGGUGGUUGUGGUGGUCUGUGCUGGGUCAGCUUGGCUGGAGCCUGUGCUCCAGUGGUGAGUGAGUGGGGGAAAAUGAGGGCUUUCUGGGUGAGGAUUCAGGCUGGGGUAGUGCUGCUCCCUUCUCCCCCAUGAUUAAUUAUUGUCAUUAUAAGGAGUGUGGGUGUCUGUUUUGUCCUAUUACCCAGGAUUCCUGCUUGUAUCCAGCGUCUUCUGAUGUGGGGCUGGUACCUGUGCCACCUACCUGCACUGUGACUUGGCUUCCCAUCCUACAGAAUGGGAUGUAAUAGUGGGGACCUGGGGCUUCCAGUAUCUCACACAGCUGUUUCCUAGGCAGGCACUGUGGGACAUAGAAAAGGGGAAGGGUUUGCCUGGGAUGGAAGGAGCUGUGUUACUGCCAGGAAUAGCACCCAGGCAUCCCAUGACCUGAGCUCUCCUGCACAAAACGUGAUAAGGUUCCCAGGCACUGAGCAGCCAUAGGAGAGCACCGCUGGGACUGCUGUCGGUGUUGCCUCUGAGGAUGAGCAAAGUACCUAUUAGGAGCUGAUGAGCAGAAUGGCACUGAACCUGACUCAGCUCCAAUCCUUCUCAGUUUCUCGGGUGCAGAACUCAAGCUUUGGACAACAGCAGAAGCAGUCAGUUAUGUUCUCACUCUGUCUGCUUUGGAAGUCCUGCAGUGUGCUGGUGUGGCAGCGGGGCAGUUCAGGAUAAAUCAGAAACAAAAGUGCCAUUAUCCAUAUGGGACCUCACGAGUGCAUCGCGUCCGCCAGCAAUUCCGAGCACUCUGGGUAUGGUUCUCGCUUGGUUUUAACUCAAUUUCUUUGAGAUGCAAAUCAGAGGGAUUAUAUUCAGAGGCUGCAUCAGAAAGUCUUUAAUCCAAAUGGGCUAUAAGAUUUAUUUGGAAGAGCCAAAUGUCUUGUCUGGGACAGAAGCAACAGAGCUGAACUGAAACAGAUGGACAUAAAGGAAAUUAAGCAACUCUAAUGGUCUUAUCCAGAGUUUCAAAGUAUUUGGUCUUCGGAAAGCUCCAGCUCCUGGAAGCACGUGAUGAGAUGGGAAGCUCAAGUUUCAUUUAAAAACAGGCUUUGCAGUUCACUGGGAAAGACAAUAAUAAUGUUUUUAUUCCUCCUGUGUACAGAGGGAAGGCUGCCUUCCAAACCCCAGCUCCUCAGCUCAGCUCAUGACGUCAGAUGGAAGUGUAUUGCACAACGUUUGAAUUCCUUGUCUUCAUCACAGUAUGGUUAUUUCAGUGGGCUGGAUUUGGGAUUUCAGAAGGUUGAUUCUUCCCUGGGUUCUUAGGGUGCCAGGAGGUGAUCGCCCUCAUCUCUGCAAGGGGAAACCAUCUGCAGCCUGAGCUGUGAGCCCUCCUGCUUGUGGCUGCGCCGUGCCCUGCUUGGCUCAGUGCUAAGUACCCAGGGCAGAGAAGCUUCACGUGUCUGUGCCUUGGCCAUCCUUGACCCCAGAGCUUUUGGAUUCGGAUUAAAUAAAAGCCAUCCACCCAAGCCGUAGAGCUGUCAACAUGGGGAAUGACCUUCACCUCCUCGCUCACCUCCAGGAGAUGCUGUGUCCGCUCGGCCGGGCGCAUGGUUGGCUGCAGCAGCACUGCCUGCUGCCCGGAGCCAGGUAAUUACAGCACCCGUUAUGGUUCAGCAGGCACCUUCAUUAAUAAACCUCGAGUUUCCGAGGUGCCUAACUCAGCCAUUGGAAACCACAUCUGGCUGUAACUCUACGGCAUGUCUAAGCUUUCAGCUCAUCUCCGACUGCCUAAGCGGUUUACAGGACGGGCUGUAAACAAAGUCUGUUUUGUUGGGGUUUUGCAUGCUUUGAGGAAAAAAAAAGCAAACCAUCCGCUGGGCUCAUCUCCUCGGUGCAGAGCUGGAGGCUGACAGCUCCUUCUCACGUUAUUUUUUGCUUCUGAGAUAGCCCAAAUAAUGAACAUAUGGAGUCUUCCCAUGCAUGCAUAGCUCUGGUGCUUGGUGCUGGGCAGCAUGCUUGCUCUGGCACAAGGCUGGCUUGCAGGAGGGGCAGCCACCAAUAGGAAGGAUGGAGUUAAAUUCCAUAGAGAUGUAAGGAGCAGAGACGGGGUAAGGAGAUGAGUCCGGCAUCAAAGGGAGUGGGCAGGCAGUAUGCAGCCAUAACCAUCCCCACCCAUCAGCAAAACACCCCCUCUAGUAACCCGCCAGAGCUCAAAGGCAAGUAAGUCCACAUCUGUGCAGGGGAGCUCUGGGGUUUGCAGCUGGGAGGGAGAAAUGGGCUGCUGGGGAGGCUGGACUGCUGGGCUGGGCUGUGUCCCCAGCUCAGAGCCUUCCCCUGGCUGUGGGACAGGGGCUUGUGGUAUUUGAGAGGCAGGAUUCUGGAGCUGGGGAUAUCCAGACUGUUGGGUACCAUCCUGCUGAAGGGAAAGGGCACCAGUGUGCCUGCAGCCCUUAGUGCUAGAGCCAGGUGCUGGGGAUGCAAUGGACUUGGACACCUUUGGGGCCAAUGCUCACCAUGACGCUGGGCAUUGGCUGCCAAUCUGAAAGUGAGGGGAGCCCUGUAGGAAAGGCUGAAAUUUCUGCUCUGCAUCCCUGUCACAGAGCAGGUGGGGGCCACCUGUGUGUUUCCCAGGUGCUUUCCCACCCUAGGGAGUUGAAGAGGAGGUGGCAGCAUUGGCUGUGGGUUGUUGCUGAACUCGCUUAUGGAUUGCUAAUGAUGUUUGUGAAAGCCCUGAAUGAAGACCACACACGGGAGGCUCAGGCGAGUGAUGUACCUUAGACCUGGAGGGUGAGAGGGAAAAAUGCUUUUGUGCCUGACUCACCGGCUCUGUGCUAACACUGACUCAUAAUUACUGAUUUUGAUUCAGGGAAAAAAAAAGAUUUAUCUGCAUUCAGACCUUUGGAAGAGGCCAAUGCAACCUACUAAUGAAGAGGGGAGGUGGUGCUGCUGUGCUGUCCACAGCCCUAUGUAAGGUGUGGGGAGAGCAUGGCAGAUUGGCUCUGGGGCUGCGAUGAACUCUGGAGAUGAGGAGGGUCUGAUUAUCCCCAACCCUGCCCAGAAUUGGUCACGUAGGAGGGAAAUUUCUUGGACCACAGGAGUACCUCUGGCUCAUUUUCCCAUGGCUCAGCGCAGGCAGGCAGCUCUGCAGAUGAAGAUGUCUCGUGAGCAGCACGUUGGACCUGAACGCGUGUUUGUGUGGUUCCCCUGCCAUCAGCACAACGGGAGCUACACGGCGGCCAGCCAUGCAGAGCCAACAAGAAAAGCCUGCUGAAGAAAAGCACCGGCGAUGACAAUACCCAUUUGCAAGACGGAUUAAGCUUAGAGCAGUGUCUGGGCUUUGUGCAGGGGCAGCUCUGAGCACGAAGCGUGGUGGCAAGAGGCUACAAAAGCCGGGAUCCCACGCAGCCCCAUUGCCAGCAGUGCUAACCCAGCCCAUGCAAGGCUCAGUCCCCAUCGCUGCCAGGACCUGCCGCCUCCUGCCCUGCCCUCUCCCACUGCCCUGCUCGUGCCACCUUGCCUCCCUGCUGCUCAGCCCUGCUGGAUGCUAAGUGGAAAUCCCCCCCCCCCUUGCCAAGUGUUAAAUACUUAUCAAGCUAAUACAGUGUCUUUGCGGAGGUGCGUACAUGAGACAACAUGUUACCAUAAUUAACAAGCAGCUGGAGUUGGCAUCGUGCUGCAGCUGCUGGCGGCGGCUCCCAGUGCCUUUCCCAGGGCUGCAGCUCUGCACCUUCCAAUAGCAGGGGAGUGCUGAGGGAGGGAAUGCCUUGCAGCUCCCUUCCUACCUCGCAGGAGGUGGUGGUGGCUUUCAGACUGGGGUCUGCGUAGCCACGGAGGUCUGGGAAUGUUUCUGGGUUGGGCAAAUGGGUUCAUUCCCAGCGGGCAAAUGCUUAUACAGGGGGUGAGGAGCUGUUGUGGGAGGCAGCGAGUUGGGUGCUGUAGGGAAUCCUGUCGCUGGAGUCUCUGGGAGUGGUGGCUUGUCCCUGUGCCAUUGAUGUGGCCAUGGAAUCACAGUGCUGGGGCAGUGAUGGCCAAGUGCCACUGGGUCUGUGUGAUAGGUGUCAGGGACCAAUGGUGGCACCAGUGCUGGAGAGAGCUUGGGAGAAAGAGAGAGUGGCUGUGAUGGGACUGUAAACCCAGCCCUGGGGAUGAAGGUGGCAGAGUAGGGUUGGUGGGCUUCCUUUAUUUGAUCAGACUUACUGAGAUGAUGUAGAUCCAUCCCUCCGCUCAGCCCUGUGCAGAUCUGCUGCACAAAACCUCCUCAUCCUUUUGAAUUGCCUUGAGCUCCCUAACUUUCCAGCCCCAGAGAAGUCAUCUCAGCAGUUGAUGUUUGUAUCAUGACCUAUGUUGCUACUGAGUUUUAAAUAUAUAUAUAUAUAUAUAUUUUCUGCACUGUAUGCUAGCUUCCCACAUGCAAAUUGCUCUGAGUGAGCCAUUUAUCUGGAAAAUAAAGGUUAUGUUCUCAAAAGGCAUUUAGUUCC